CAAUAGCGUAUAUUUAAGUUGUUGCAGUUAAAAAGCUCGUAGUUGGAUUUCGGGUGGGACGCAGCGGUCUCGCAUUGCGUUUGUACUGCUGCAGCCCUCCUUCUUGCCGGGGGCGGCCUCUCGGACUUCACUGUCUGGGGGUCAGAAUCGGCGAUGUUACUUUGAGUAAAUUAGAGUGUUCAAAGCAAGCUUACGCUCUGAAUAUAAUAGCAUGGGAUAACACGACAGGACUCUGGCCUAUCGUGUUGGUCUGUAGGACCAGAGUAAUGAUUAAGAGGGACAGUCGGGGGCAUUCGUAUUCCGUUGUCAGAGGUGAAAUUCUUGGAUUUACGGAAGACGAACAUCUGCGAAAGCAUUUGCCAAGGAUGUUUUCAUUGA
rnacentral:rRNA from 1 species